GACUUCCGCAGGAGAAAAAUGUGGAAUCCCAGACUAAAAUCUCCCACAAUCUCCCACUGGAGAGGUAAUGUCUUCAGCCUCACAUGGAGCCAGGCCUGGCCUGGCUGGGAAUGCCCCUGGAAUGCAGCUGGCAGCGAGAGCGAGUUGGCCCCUUUCGUGCAGGUGCCAACAGGGAUUGCUGACGGGGCUUUCUGGGAGGGAGCUCAGCUGCUCAGAGCUCCCUUUGGUCUCCUAAAUGAAGCUCUUUUGCACAGCACCUGAAGGGAAGCUGUUGGCAAAGGUUUAUUUACCACGAUCAAGUUCUCCAUCUAUCCACUAACCUGCAUGUGCAGAAAGGGGACUGGACGAAACUGAAGGUAAUUGUGAGACAUUUUUCCACCCAGAGCCUGAGAAGACCUCCUCUACUAUACAAAUCCACAAACUCUUCUCGAGAUAUCACUUCCUAGCUUUUUUUUCCAGGCCACAAAACCAUUUGAAUUAUUAUCAGGUAACAUGUUAGGUAAACAGCUCGUAAGUUUAGUUAAUGGACAAUGUUAUUUGAGAAGCAAAUGAUGCCAGCUUCCGAGUCCAGGCACCCCCCAGGUUCAGAUGCUGGCACCCUCAGCUUGUUCUGUCAGAGCUCCCAGGUACUGCAUCCCUGCAGACAGAGCUGUCUCUGUCCCAGCAGAUCUGACAGUUGGAAAUACCAGCAGCACUCAGAGACUGGAGAGCUGGCAAAUGUGAGACAUGGCAGGAAAAGCUUUAUACACUGAGCAGAGGCUGGGAAAAACUUUGUGAGCUCUGGUCACAGGUCAGAGAACAGAUGAAAGUGCAACAAGUGAUGGACACCACUGGAGUUCUGUGUGUACUGAGGUCCAGAGGUUGUCACUACAGAUCAGGUAUUUCCAGCAGUUUUUUUCUUUAUGCAAGUUGUAAAAUAUUUCCCAAAAGUACUGGUUAGGUGACAGGAUAAUCUGCUCUGAAUCUAUUCUUGCAAGGACAGGGCUAGAUCCAUCAUGACCACAACCUGCCAGCACUUCAUACAACUGUGAUCCCGUGUGAAUCAGAGAGUGACCGUGAGCUCCAAGAGCAGAGCCCAUGAAGAAGGCAUGUCUUGGAGCAGGGUGAGGAAUGCAGAGGCGUGUGCUGCAAGGUGUGGCAGGUAUGUGUGAGCUGUUAAUGACUGUGCUGAAGAAAUCUUGGUGAUGCAGAGGUGAAGGAGUCCAAGAGCUGGAGGAGUCCACAACCCAUGCUGUGGGAUCAGCUGAAGGACUGAUCUGUA
rnacentral:lncRNA from 1 species